rnacentral:rRNA from 1 species
UACAGAGGGGGCAAGCGUUGUUCGGAAUUACUGGGCGUAAAGGGCGCGUAGGCGGCCCGCUAAGUCGAACGUGAAAUCCCCGAGCUCAACUCGGGAACUGCGUCCGAUACUGGCGGGCUUGAAUCCGGGAGAGGGAUGCGGAAUUCCAGGUGUAGCGGUGAAAUGCGUAGAUAUCUGGAGGAACACCGGUGGCGAAGGCGGCUUUCUGGACAAAUACCGACGCUGAGGCACGAAAGCUAGGGGAGCAAACAGG